GAGAAAAGCUUGCUCGCGAUGGCGUAGUGUCAGUCAAUAUCAAUGUUGACUGAUUCACAGCCAUCGCGAGCAAGCUUUGCUC
rnacentral:antisense_RNA from 1 species